rnacentral:rRNA from 1 species
CCUACGGGUGGCAGCAGUGAGGAAUAUUGGUCAAUGGCCGGAAGGCUGAACCAGCCAUGCCGCGUGAAGGUCAGUGCCCUAUGGGCGUUAAACUUCUGUUGUGCGGGAGCAAUAAUGGUCACGUGUGGCCAGACGAGAGUACCGUACGAAUAAGCAUCGGCGAACUCCGAGCCAGCAGCCGCGGUAAUACGGGGGAUGCAAGCGUUAGCCGGAUUUAUUGGGUUUAAGGGGUUCGUAGGCUGUGAGGUAAGUCCGCGGGGAAAUGCCCCCGCGCAACGGGGUGAAGUGCCAUUGAUACUGCCUUGCUGGAAUGCGGAUGCCGUGGGAGGAAUGUGUGGUGUAGCGGUGAAAUGCAUGGAUA